GGCCUAACACAUGCAAGUCGAGCGGAAACGACACUAACAAUCCUUCGGGUGCGUUAAUGGGCGUCGAGCGGCGGACGGGUGAGUAAUGCCUAGGAAAUUGCCUUGAUGUGGGGGAUAACCAUUGGAAACGAUGGCUAAUACCGCAUAAUGCCUACGGGCCAAAGAGGGGGACCUUCGGGCCUCUCGCGUCAAGAUAUGCCUAGGUGGGAUUAGCUAGUUGGUGAGGUAAUGGCUCACCAAGGCGACGAUCCCUAGCUGGUCUGAGAGGAUGAUCAGCCACACUGGAACUGAGACACGGUCCAGACUCCUACGGGAGGCAGCAGUGGGGAAUAUUGCACAAUGGGCGAAAGCCUGAUGCAGCCAUGCCGCGUGUAUGAAGAAGGCCUUCGGGUUGUAAAGUACUUUCAGUUGUGAGGAAGGGGGUAGCGUUAAUAGCGCUAUCUCUUGACGUUAGCAACAGAAGAAGCACCGGCUAACUCCGUGCCAGCAGCCGCGGUAAUACGGAGGGUGCGAGCGUUAAUCGGAAUUACUGGGCGUAAAGCGCAUGCAGGUGGUUCAUUAAGUCAGAUGUGAAAGCGCGGGGCUCAACCUCGGAACUGCAUUUGAAACUGGUGAACUAGAGUACUGUAGAGGGGUGGUAGAAUUUCAGGUGUAUCGGUGAAAU
rnacentral:rRNA from 1 species